UUUUUUUUUUUUUGGGGGUUUGAGAAUGGCUGGCUUUAAUUUUAAGAGUAGCAUUGUGCAACCCAUAAAAAAGAAAGUCAAAGAAACAUAGCACAGGAAGAGGAGCCACAGCAAAUAAAAGGAUUGUGAUGUGACAACAAUUCAAGUAAUUUCCUUGGUGUUUAUAUUAUCGAUAUACAAAGAGUGUUCCAUUCUUAAGAAGCACAGCAGGUCAUAGUUAGCAUAACUUGUUCAUUUCAGCCUUUGAACUGCUAGCAUGGCUUGAGUUUCCUCAUUCCACAUGUGAAAAACCCCCACCUUCAGCCUUUGUCCUGCAAACAAGCACACAAUUGACAAACAACAAAACCACAUACAUCAGUUCUUUUCUCCACUGGUAAAUAGUCUCAAAUUCUUUCGACAAGACAUGAAACUCUACAUUUUUUUUACUGAUAAACCCACAAAAAGUAACCCACAUUUCUUUGAAAAAGACCAAAUUUUCCGUUCCUCAAGGAUAACGAAAGCUUACUUGUGAUCGGAAGGAUUUGGCCUGAGUUCAUAAACAAUUGUUGCAACAACAUCCCUCUUCAACUGUUCAUCAAAGAAAAGAAAAUGAUGUAUUAGUUAUUUGCACAAUUAACGCAACAGAAUAUGCUCAUAUGGAAUGAAAUUACCUGAGUAGCCUCGCCUUUAAAGCCAAUGUACUCUAUCUUAGUUGUAUCACCACCAAAACUAUCAGGAAAAUGCAAUGUGAUGCUGGCCACGUUUUGAAACUUGGAAUACCUAAUUAUACGGAGAAAUGUUACAUUAGAGGGAUAACAGAUGGUAAAAUAAAAAUCAAACAAAACAAAAAACAACAAAAGAACUCAUUUCAGUGGCAAUUCAAAGUAAUUUACCGUCACUGUUCAAUUUGAAAAAGAAUAAGGUUUCUUUCAUUGUGCUCAAGUUUUAUAGUUUUCAUGUUCUAGAAAAUUAAACAACAUGGUUUUUGAAGUAGUAGUACUCCAAAAGGCAGUGAAUAAAUACCUUGUCUGGUACUCCAACACUCCUUGAAAAUUUUCGACCAAAUCCCACUCCUUAAAACAAUAAGAACACAUGUUUCAAGGCUGAAACGUUGAAUUUUUUCAAUUAACUCUUGAACAAGCUAAUAUGAAAGCAAUACCUGAAUGGCUUGCAUUCCUUGAACAUCUGAAAAGUCAAUGCCAUCUCGGUUGAUGAACCUAAUUAAGCAAUGCAGUCAUGUUUUUAGUUUUUUCAAAUAUAAAAAAUGUGAUCGAUAUUGAACAUCUGUCAAAGACUGAUUUGAUAUUUAUUUUGUCAGAAUCAUAUAGAACAAGACUCGUGAUCAGUACUAUUAAAGUUUGAACUUACACCCUCAUCUUGCUAGGACUUGUUCCGUCAGCACCGCCAAUAAUUGAUAUGCUCUUGAUCUUGACAUCUGAUGUAAAUCUAUCACAAAUAAAUGAAAAAAAUAUAGCUCAAUCAGAAUGUAAAGAAACAACAUCAAAGAUGACUUCAUCUAAUAAGUUGGUGUCAGAAUGGUAUGCUUUAAGAAAACUUAUCAAGAUGCCGACCAAAUGUUUGAACAAUAAAUACAACUAUAUUAAGCAUCAGAUAUAGGAGAUGAGCACAAGACAAAAGGAUAAUUAUAAAUGACACACAAAUUAACAGUUGUGUUUUGCUUUAGGUGUACCUGGAGAUGCUACUAAGGUUGAAUCCCUUACUCAAAACUCAUACAAACCCAACUAUGGAGAUCUAACAAAAUCAGACACAUAUUAUCAUUGUAAUUGAAUGAAAAGAUGGAAAAAUGUGUAAAAGUACUCAACCAAUGGAUCUACCUGAUCCCAUGCAUUUCGUAAUUAUGCAGUCUAUAACUCAUUUCAUGAAGAUAUCACAUAAAACAACAAGACGGGACACUCACGGAAUGUAAACAAGUAACUCGGGAUCACCCUCAUUGCUCUCCAAGUGUUCCUGUUGCAGAAAGUAGAAUCAAAAUGAGGCUUCAUAUGCCUAGUAAUUGAACAUAAAUUACAACCAAAAUAUAAGGUAAACCUGAACUAAAUCUCAAUCAAUGAUUCCUACAAAUUUUCGUAAAUGUCAUUCUGAGCUUUCAAGUAGAUUAACUUAUGAAGUUUGGAUCAUUACUUUUAACAAGGACGUAUAGAGAAGUAAAUAGAUAGCUCAUUACCCCAGUAGAAUUCAGCCGUUGCUCCCAAGCUUUAAAAACCGACUUGACACUUCCUGGAACCGCCUCAUUCAAAGCCGAAACCUAAAAACAGAAUAAGACAUUCUCUCAAGGAGAACACGUCAUCAUGUCAAUCAGCAAGAGGAAGCUCCAACGAAAUAUUAAUUUACAAAAUAACAAAGUGUGAAAAUAUUGCAAAGUAUAAAUCACCCCACAUCAACAAUCAUCAAUUACCAGUCAUAUAGCCACCCACAACCAAACUGCCCAAACCACAACACACAAGCACCCGUCUCCCAAAAAAAAAAAAAAAAAAGUUUCUAAACAUUUCUGGAAACUAGCAAUAACAGCAUCUGCAUGGAGUAUCAUUAACAAAGCUUCAUAUCCAACUAUUUUCAUUUACAACCAAGAAGCCUACACAUAAGAACCAUUAUGCUUACGGAUAAAUGCUUAUGAGAUUCAGCAUUUGAGCUUGAGGGUUUAUGUUGAUCACUGUUCUUUCAACUAAUUUUCAUUUGGGCACUUCCAGAUAAAACCAAAACAAUCACAAAAUGGGAGCAGACUGAAACGUACCAGUAUACGCAGAGCAGCAGUGUGAUAGCUAACAACGAAAACAUAGGAAUAGAAAAAUUAAGACUGAGCAAAGAAAAAGGCAGAGAAAUAGGACCUUGGGGAGGUCUAUAUGCUUGUAGAGAGACCAAUCAGAAGAACAAUCAUGCUCUUCGCAGCUGUGGUCAUGUAAGCAAGCCAUCUCUCUCUUUCCCUGGAUCACCAAAUUUCUAAGAAGCAGCACAAAAAGGCGAAGAAGAAAUAGAAGCAACCAGAAAUAGGGAGCGAACCGUGGCUUUUUCUGUGCAUAGUGCCGAAAAGGCCCUUGUAUCGGUACAAUAAAACGCACCGUUUACCUGUACAUAUAUGUCCUUUUAGGCUUUUACUGUGAAAUGCAAACGAGACUGUUUUCGCAAAACUUUCUUCUUUGCUUUCAUUUGGGAAGUUCAGCUCUGAGCUCUGUGAGAGAUGGAGGAAAUAGUAGAAGGGGACGGGUCGGGUGCGGGCAGAUACACGCUGAGACCAACGAGGCUAAGCAACGAGGACAUUCUGUUCUGUAUAGAUGUUGACCCAGAGUCUAUGGUGGAGAUGAAAGCCGCGAUGGGCCCAAAUGGGCGACCUUUAACCCGCUUGGACUCGAUCAAGCAAGCCAUACUUGUCUUCAUCAACGCCAAGCUCACCAUCAACCCAGAGCACCGAUUCGCCUUUGCCUGUCUCGGAAAGUCCGCGUCUUGGGUAGGUUCUCUCUGUUCAUCUCUCUCUUUAUUGCUUGGUUUCUGUUCGGUUUCCGAGAAAAUUUGCGAUCAAGGGCAGAGGAUUUUAUGGUUAUUAUGUGUUUUUUAGGAAUUGAACUCCUGGAAACCAUGAUUAUGGCUUUGGGUCAUAGUUUUGAGGUUUUUUGUGAUAUAUACGGUUAUGGGUAGAUUAAAAUUUUCAUUUGCAGGAAAUGUAAGCAAUUGCGUGCCAUGAAUUUGGUUUCUGGAUGAAUCAAUGAAGGAAAAUUAGUUUAAAUCACUAUUUUCAAGUAGCCCAUUGUACAGAGUCUCACCAAGUCAAAAACGUUUUGAUAGCAUGAAAGAGUUUAGACAGAAGUGUGAAACCCACGAUACAAUAUGGGGUUGCUGUGCAUGUAUAUUUAUAAGAAGUACUACGUCGGUAAACAAGAUUUGGAUAUGAACACUACUACUGAGGAGGCUUAUCAGAGAAUACUAAUGAUGAACCCUUGAAAUAAAAUACAUGAUAAAUAUAAACAGAUAAACACGUGAGGAAACUAAGCAGGUAGCACUUCUAUCAGUUUUCCUUUGAUUAAGCUUUGGUCACUUUUAUUGAAUGCGGGUGAGAAAUCAAUUCCUUUACUAUCUGUUAAGGAGAUUUCGGAUCUUGAUCAUAGUUUCAAAGUGUACUUUCCAAGAAUCAUCCGCAUACCUUGAUCAUUUUUGGUCCUAGACUUAUUUUAUGGGGUGCAGUACCAAGAAUCGUUCACAUACCUUGCUGUAGGGUUGAGUUUUGAUGCAUGAUAUGCAUAAUUAUCAUGCAAAUACCCCAUUAGUAGUAAAUAUUUAUGCAGUGUAAGCAAACCUUCUGCAGGUCUUUGUUCAAAACACUCAAUUUAUCCUUUGUGUCUGUUUGUUUGAUUUAUGUUUCUGUAAUUGAUUUGGAACCUUUUGUUUUUCGUUUUUAUGAAGCUUCGGAAAGAGUUUAGCAGUGAAGUCGAUUCUGCUAUUGCUGCAUUUCGAGUACUCUCAGCUACUUCAUCUUCUAGUAAUGCAGAUCUUACCAGUCUAUUUCGAGUAGCAGCUCAUGAAGCAAAGAAAUCUCGUGCUCAAAACAGACUUUUAAGGGUGGUAAGCAAUGGUUGGCUUAACUUUUCAUGCAAUUACAUUGGUUAAUUAUUACAUCCGUGCCAUUGUGAUAUUCCAUCUUAUCCCUUCCAUGAUGUUGAAAUUUUUGUGUGUUGAUUGCUAAAGGCUGACAUGCUUGCCCUUAGAUUCUUAUUUACUGUAGAUCAUCUGUAAGACCAAAUCAUCAAUGGCCUGUGAACCAGAAACUCUUCACUCUGGAUGUAGUUUACCUUCACGACAAGCCUGGACCUGAAAACUGCCCUCAAGAGGUCUAUGAUUCACUUGUGGAUGCCCUGGAACUUGUUAGCGAAUAUGAGGGCUACAUCUUGGAGAGCGGUCAGGGAUUAACUCGAGUUCUCUUCCGUUACAUGUGCAUGCUGCUAUCACACCCUCAGCAGCGUUGCCCACAAGACCAUCUGGACAUACCUAAGCCUCUUGCGAAAAAGUUGCCGGCAGCAGAUUCAACGACUACUGAUGAUAGUAUUAUAACUGUGUCCGGCAUAUCAGAAGUUCAGAACAUUAGAAAUUAAUUUUACUGAGGUCAUUUUGCUUCUAAAAGUCUCAUAUGUAUGUAGUUUGUCUGAUGUUGAUGUAAACCUCUUGUUGAGUGAGAAUGAGUAGCCGAUUUGAUCUUGGUCCUAUCUGUCUGUACAAAUUGUGAAUGUUAUGAAUCCCAAUGUUUAUUUUAACCUAUCUGUCGAAGAAUUUUUUAUGACAUUCAAGAUCACGUAAAAUAUAGCAAAAGCAAGAAGUUCUUAGUACUAGUUUGUAUGUGUAUCCCCAUUAAUAUGAAGAGGGAGGUGGGAGCUGGCUUGCUACGCCGCGUCACACGGCACGCGGCAGCUAGGCAUAUUAGACGUCGAAGGAUUCUGGCAUUAAAUGUUAAGCAUUUAUAAACUUUGCCAAGGCUCAAAUUCUCCCAUAAGCAGCCUAAAAUGAGGAUGUUGUAAGUUGAAUUUUGCUACAUAGAACUACAUUCUCGGAAAACAGCUUAGUUGCCACUUUGCCAGUCACAUCACGAGACAUGUGUCGAAAUCUCCCCCGCUCGAAAAAAUAAAAAAUAAAUAAAACAAAAAAAAAAGGUAAGCCUUCCUCAAAGUCUAACGCUACUAGAUUGAAAGGUGAAAAAACUUGAUUGCAUAAGUAUACUACCCAUUGGUAUUGAUGAAAGACUUAUGAGGUUUGAAAUUAAAUCUUUCAAGUUCCCCGCAGAACCCUGCCUUGCCCUUUGGAGUGAGGCUAAGGUUUUCUUCUCUUAUUAAAAAAACCAAUCGACUAUUAUUUGCAUUCCCACAAAACCGUAUGACUCAUUGCUUCCAAUGGUGAGGUCAACAUAUUGGUAAUCAGAAAGAAAAAAAAAAUGCAGAGCUCGAAAAGUUGAAAUGAUAACCAAAAUCCCUCAUCCAUAUAAUUUUUUUUAAGUAGAAGUCAACUUGGAGGGAUGAUCUUAAUCACACAAAUUGUCUGUGACAUCUCUAGAAUUAGUUUUAGUAAUGAAAUAAAUCGUUUAACUCUUUCGCUCAAGAAAUCUGCCGGCAUGACGUGUCGCUUGUGCGUUCCUUGUCCACUUGUGCAUGCUUAUAUAUUGCUUGCACGAGUACAAAGAAAAACUCCAGUUUGAAAAACUUUUUAUACUAAAAAUAAACCCUAAGCAUUAUUAAAUUUGUAUUGUUUUUAAAGUUUGACCAACUGUUUUGAUCUUUUUUUCAUGAACUUGUCCAAGCCGUUCUGGCGCUCUUUAACUAUUAUUAGUCUUAAUAAUCUAUUUCUAAUUGUCAUGAGUCAUGACCAAUCUCCCUUCUCUGUAAAGUGCAUCAAGUUGGUCAUGUCAACUCAUUCUUUUCUUUUUACAAGUGAUGGUGGGGAUAACUAGGUUAACACUUAAAAUUGCUUCCAUCUUCACCUACUUGAAUGACAGAAGAACAUGGGCUCGUGCCUUGUGGGUCACUUAUCUUAUCUUAUUUAACUUUUUUUUAUUGCUUUUAGGUGAAUCGACUGCACAAUCUUAAAUGCAUGAAUGAAUGCUUUAAACUAUUUAAAUUACGAGCUCUUUAUUGUGUUCCUUAGACAGAAGUUAAAACCAUCAUGAUUUGCUGGUUUUGAGUUGGUUAAUUAGUGUUUACAUGGUGUGAAUGUAAAAGUAAAUGGUAAAUGGCUUACAUAGCAAGUUAGUUAUAUAUAAGUUAAAGAAGACACCUCUCAAGUGGUAUGCGAAUCUUGGGGUGGCAUAAAAUAAUUGAGAAUUUAUUUAAAUAUAGUCAAAUUAUUGAAGCUCCUUCAGCUCUCUGUGGAGCCACUUUAAUUUGCUCCAAUAGAUGAUCAUUUUGCUAACAUGUGCCCUUUAUAUUCAUGAUUAAAGAGAAGAGGACUUCAAAUGAACUUUGGACUAUAGGAGAUAGAUAGGAGGAGGAGGAGGAGGAGGAGAUAAAGGAAAAAUCCAUUUCCAGUUUUAAUGGGACUCUGCAUAUCUUCUUCAGCUCACAAAAUUCAGGAUGGCCAUGAAGCUCCAAUGUCCUUUGAAAGGACUGACGAUUCUAAUGGAAUUCAGAUGCACGGUUCCCUUUAUUCUUUGGAAGGAAGCAAAGGAGUAAACCAAGAUAGUGCCAUUCUUUACCAGGUUUGUGAAUAUUUCUUUCCCCUUUAUUAUAUGGAAGGAAGCAAAGGAAUUGUUCUGUGUGUUUCUCUAGCUGCUCAUUUCAAAACCAUAUUGUUUGUUUUUCGCUUUGUCUAUACAUAAAUAUAUAGAAUGGCAAGGCUUGUUUUCUUAGAAAAUCAUCAGCAAUUUCGUUUCAAAAGCAUUCAUGCAAAGCAUGUUGCAUAAUCGGGUUUCAUAUUAUUUUACUAGGCUUCUGAAAGUCUGUUGAUUAUAGCUUUAACCUCUUCUUAUUUUUCUUGUCUUUUCAAUAGGGCUAUGGAUUGGAAGCUGAAGCUUUCUGUGGAGUUUUCGAUGGACAUGGAAGAUUCGGGCACCGAGUGAGUCAGCUGGUGAGAAGCAACCUGCCAUCACUCUUACAAGGCCAGAUGAAAGCUCUUGAUCAACAAGCCAUUGCAGUAGCAGAGGAUGAUGAUUCGAAAAAUCACAUUGACAGAAUAGAAACCGAGUCAGAAGAUUCAGAACCAAGCAAGAAAUUUCACAAAUGGAAAGAAGCCUUUGUUAGCUCCUUCAAAGUCAUGGACAAGGAGAUUAAGCUUCAAGAAAAUCUGGACAGCUCUUGUAGUGGAACCACUGCUGUUGUUGUCAUAAAACAGGUGAGAAAAACUACACAUGAUCAUUGAACAAAUUAUUUAUCUUUCUUUAUUUCUUUGUGUUCGGCUUUAAUUCAAGAAUCAAACAGGGUGAGGAUCUUUUUAUAGCUAAUCUGGGUGACUCAAGGGCAGUCCUAGGAACCACUAGAGAGAAUGGAAUUGAGGCCAUUCAAUUGACCACUGAUCUAAAGCCUGCUUUACCUAGUAAGAAGUUCAUCAUUUUUUUCCAUUUUUUUCCUCUUGUUUAAUUUGAAGUGAUUAUCUGACAGGUGAUCGUUUUUAAUGCAGGUGAAGCAGAACGAAUAAGGGCGUGUGAUGGUCGAGUGGUUGCACUAAAGCAAGAACCUAACAUCCAAAGAGUGUGGUUGCCUCAUAUUGACCUCCCAGGCCUAGCCAUGUCCUGAGCUUUCGGAGACUUCAUACUCAAGGACCAUGGCAUCAUUGCCACCCCUGACGUCUCCUAUCGCCGCCUGACUUCCAAAGAUCGAUUUGUCGUUCUUGCAACGGAUGGGGUAAGCCCUAUUGGAAAUGAAAUGUGUACUUGUUAAGAGUUUUAGCGUUGCCAAAGAAAAAAGGGCACAGUUGCUUUCCUAUGAAUGGCAUUUUAACCACAAUGAUGCGUUUUGUUCUUGGGCUUGGUAUUUAGGUUUGGGAUGUGCUCAGCAACCUUGAAGUUGCAUCCAUUGUGUGGGAAGCUGAUAGUGCACAAGCAGCGGCAAAGGCGGUGACGGAGACUGCGGUGGCCACAUGGAGAAGGAAGUUCCCUUCUGCUAAGAUAGAUGACUGCACUGUGGUUUGCUUGUUUUUGCAAGACAAACUACAUGAUCAUGUUGUGCCUGUAAAGAUAUGAGCUUUUGAGCAAUGCUUGUUGCUUUGUGAUCUUUUUUUAUCUUCAUACAUUUUAACACGACACUAUACUUUUUCAAUUUCUGAUAAGCUAUACUUUUUCAAUUUCUGAUAAGCUACCCGUCCAAUUAUGUACAUAAGCCCACAGGUUCCAUUUUUGGUUAAGACAACAGUUGCUUUCAAGAAUAAAUUUUUGGUCAAAUCAUCCGCCAGUAAAUGAAAUCUUUCAAAACCAAACAGAACCAUUGGCAACCUUCAAAAUGCUCAGUAAAUUUUCAAAAUGUCCACGAAUAAACAAUGAUGUUUUGAUUUGUUUUCUCCAGGCAAUUCUAGAAAGACAUCACAGGGCUAGAAAUUCAUGAACAUAAAUAUAAUAAGACUUGACAUAGUGGCAAAAGGCAUUCUUGAAAUUUCAUUGAAAUGCUUUUAAUCACAAUAGGAUAAGGCCGAUAAACUUCAGUUAAACUCUUUAAUAGGGGAAAAGAAUUAUGUUGCCUCCAGGCAAACGAAACAAAAGAGAACUUUCUGCAUAUAAAAACCCCAUUUGUGAGUAAACUCAAUGCCUACCAUCUGGAUGAAAAAAUAGAAACAGAAGAUCCCGGGCGAAUAUAAAUCCAUUUCCUCUAAUAUUCAAGUGCAUCAUCUUUGGGCGCCUCUCCAAGCAGGUCAUCAUCAUAUGAAACAGGUACCCUUAACCUAUCAUGAACAGAAAGUUGUUUCCCUUCAGUAUUUGACUGAAUGCCUUGAGUUUGCAUUUGACAAAUAACCGGUACGGCAUCUGAAAUAUUAGCUGGAGUAUCAUCCUUGAAUGAAUUCACAAUUGCUUUAGAUGAACCUUCUUUCCCUUGCUGUAUUGGUUGUCUAUUAUUUGUUGACCUGAAUUGCUUCUGCAUGGAGAUAGAAAACAUAAAAAGUAAUCAACGAUGCUGUAGUUUUACACUUUUUCUAAUAAAAGUGAUAUUUAAUUGACGUUUGGGAAAUAACAUCAGAAACAACACUAUGAAUCUAUGAUCCACUACUGCGCACCUCAAAUUCCCUUCCUUUUUUCAUUAUCUCUUUGUAGGCCUUUGGUUCUCGUGCUUUGAUGAUACUCCAUAGUACUCCACCACCAAAUCGGAAACGUUUGCCAUCAUGAGUCAUCUGACCUCCACAAGCCUGGAUCGCAUCCACCUGAAAUUUUUCAUCAUUUCACAAAUGAUAUCCUAGAUACACCAUGGUUUCUAGCAGGGAAAAAGUAUCCAUUCUCCUGAUACUGGAUUCCAUCCGGACUACAAAUAACUAAUAUACGAGAAACAUAGAAACACUUGUAACAACCACAUUUAAUAAAAUUCAGAAAUUACUUAACUAAGGAUAUCGUUCCCUACAAUCAAAGUAAGCUCAAAGAUGUUCAUAAUCACAAAAGUUUCUGUAAACCAUCUCCGGAUAGAGCUUAUGGUUCCUGGGGGAGGAGCAAACAUGAAUGAUGAGCUUUUUGGAGCAAAAAUAGAUGUGUAUUGCUUUGUUACGCGUAUCUAUUAGAGUACUCUUACAUGUGUUUUGCAUGCAUAUUGGCUAAUGCAACUCCAAGAAAAAAUGAUAUCAACCUACACAAAUAGCAUAUGAUGAAGUGGUUCAUCCAGGGGACAUCACAGCUCAGAGCACAAGAUUGAAAGGAGUAAAAUGGCUUCUGCAAGAGAAAUCUGCAAGGGUAGGGAAACAAUAUUGAGGAUCAGAAAUUAUGCAAGGCUGCGUGGCCAAAUAGUGUGCAUAAGCAUCGGCAGCUCUAAGCUGGUCCAAAAUUAAGCAACCCAGAAUCUCACCUUCCCUUGCAAAAGGCCAGUCGAAUCAUUCAAGUCCACUCUCAACAAAGGAUACCCUGCCUUCCCCUUGAAGCUAUAAUGUGAAGGGAACUUAAAAAGGGACAGAUGGCUCAGAAGGUAAAGACAACCUUAAAAGUACCCCAUAAAGCAUAACCAUCCUCCCAAUAACAGGACCCCCAAUUAGCAAAAAAACCAGCGUGUUCAAGAAUCUAUAGAACAGAAUUGGCACAGACAAUAUGAUAGGUGAUUUUUAAUUGACAUCACUGAAACCCAGCUCUGAGUGCAAAUCCCAUGUUCUGAACAUGAGCAGCAAGGUCGGAUCAUCUUAAAGCUAGAUGUGAAGCGGAGUCAAGGCAACCUUAAGAAGUACCCAUAAAGCACGCCCAGACACAACCCAUUCACCCAAUAACAGGAUUACCAUUAGCAGAAAGACCAAGAGUGCUCAAGCAGGUACAUAAUAGAAUUACUUUGAACAAUAUAAUAGAUGAUUUCAAUUGAGAAUAUCACUGAAAACUCCACUGAAAGGUAUUGGGCACAAAGCACAUGUUCUUAAACUGACAGCAAGGUCGGAUCAUCUAAAAAUGCACAUUAAUGCAGAUAAACAUGUACCAAAUUUACAACCAGUUGCUAAUGGCGUCUGUCAAGGAGAUUUUCAGAAGACAAUUACAAAACAUAAUGCAAUGCACACGUAGUUGCGUAUAAAAGAUAAAGAAAACAAUCCCCAAGUUAUAUAAUUUGCUUUGUCACAGCAUUUCCACAAAAGCACACAACGAAGGGCAGCAUACCUCUUUGACGAGAUCAUUCAAUGCAAGAACACCCAGACAACCAACAGCAGUAUAUACCAGAUAUGAUUUCUUCUCUUUCAGUCGCCUACAUGUAUCCAUCACAAACCUGAAAAAGACAUAACAUUAAAAGAAUGUAAAAACCCACAAGAGAGCUCCAAAUUCCUUUUGAAUAUAUGUAAUUUCUUUCGUUCUUAAUCGGGCAGGGCAUAACCUGUCUAUGUCAGUGACAUUAAUUCCAGGGCCACUGUUCCUUCUCCUAUUCCUCUUCUUCUUACCCCUGCGCUUCUGAUUCUUGCCCUGACGUUCUUGGUUUGCUACACUGACAUUGCCACCACUGAUCUGUCCCGAACCAUUUUGUGAGUUAAAAUCCACAAGCUCCCCUUCUUCCACAAGCUCUCCUUCUUCCACAUCAAGCAUCUCAACAUCUUCGCCAUCUUCAAAGUUAUCGUCUUCAAAUACUGCGUCUAGUAUGUUGUGUUCUCCUUCCAUAUAAGGUUUUCUUCAAUGGGGGGAAAAAACGCACCACAAAAUUUAUAAGCACCUACAGAGCAGAAAGCAGGAAGAAAACACGCAGAUUUCCACAGACGAGACAAAAACUGCAAACUCGUGCAAAUUUUCUCUAUGGCAAAUCACCAAACAGAUUAUGCGAGCCCUAACCAGAAAAAAUCACAAGUACAACGAAAACAAAAAAAAAAACGUAAAUAAAUAUUUUUUUUAAAAACCGAUGUACGAACCCUAACAAUGCAAAAACAAACACAGCAAUUCAAAGCUUAUGGAAUUUUCCAAUUAGAGUGCUCUGCUUAAGGACGAUGAAGCAUAACCGCGGCUUUUGGCGUUUGGUUGAUCAGAGGACUGCGUUUCGCUGGUAUGGUCUUUAUAGUGAAGCCUAGAUGAGCGCUGGCGGUAAUCAGUAAUGGCUUGUUUGGCUGCGUGGCAAACGAUGAUAUUAAUCCGGAUUGGGUUAUAGGUGGAAAGGCCCAACCCAAGGACGCUUUGCUUAUCUGUACUGAGCGAGCCCAAAAUGGCUGAAACUUAGUCCAUCCCCAAUCUAUUAGUGAUAUUUUAUGAUUUGUUUUUGUUGAAUACGUAAUUGUUAGUAGGUUAUCUGUCGACGUUUGAUUUCUUUUCAAUAGUGGGCCAUACGUCAUUGGCCAAUCCGUACGAGUCCACAACAAAACUGAGUUGAUGUGGAUUGUUGAGUGUGAAAUUUUGAGGAGUAAGUUUUGGGUGAAAAGCUCGGACCACGUAAUCUAUCUGUCCAACUGUUUUCAUAAGAGGGUAUAAAUUUUAUUGAGCGCCUGUCGGACGGAUGACAUGGUUUUAGAGCAAAGCCAAGCCCAACCUCAUAUUCAGACACCAUUGAUUGGAACGGGUAUGAAGUGGAAAUACAGGCCUUCCUUUAUCUUGUUCAGCAAGCAAUGGUGCAUUUUUGUCCUGUAAUUCAUAAAUCUAAUAGAUGCCCUUUGUCUGCAUCAUCACUUUUGUUGUAUUCUUUAAAUUAUACCUACCUUGUUUUCUACCUAUUCAAACGAGGGGAAGGUGGGCAUGAUUGGUACCAAAGUUUCAACCUAACGUUCUUCAACAUCUAGUAGCUUUUAUAUUAUAAAGUUAAAAGAAGAAAAAUACAAAAAGAAAACUCAUUAGAGCUUCCAGCUCUUGUUUUGAAUGAUGAUAGAUUAAGUCUGAUGUUGGGUUGAAAUAUUCUUUAUUAUGGCUAACUUAGCAUUGAUGUGCUAUGAAAAUAUACGCUGUUAGAUUUAUUGUGAGAAAAAUCAACAGUGAGAUAAAACAAUUUGGUGUUUGAUAAAAAAACAAAAGGGUCCCCACUUGCUCUAACAACAAAAAAACUAAAAAUCUUGCAAGUUAACUAAAGAAACUGUAUUCUUUAAUAAAUGAAAUUUCCCGUUAUUAUCUAUAUAUAUAAAGCAAAAGGCAGAGAAUGGUGAAACAUUCAAAAUACCAGAAAAUACCCUUGGUUAAUGCAAAUAUUAAGAAUUGAAAUUAUUAAUUAAAUGAGGAUAAUAUGGUAAAUUCACAAUUUUUCGUAUUAAAAAAAUUAAAAUUAAAAGAAAAUUCAGAUAAUGGAUCCUAUUUUUAUGGAACACAAAUAUCCAUUAUCUUUUUUAAUUCUAAAAUAAAUUUAAAUUUUUUUAAAAAAAAACCUCUCGCAUGCGCAGAAGCGCGUGCAGAGAGGCUAGUAUAUAUAAAGCAAAAGGCAGAGAAUGGUGAAACAUUUAAAAUACCAGAAAAUGCCAUUGGUUAAUGCAAACAUUAAGAAUUGAAAUUAUUAAUUAAAUGAGGAUAAUAUGGUAAAUUCAUAAUUUUUCGUAUUAAAAAAAUUAAAAUUAAAAGAAAAUUCAGAUAAUGGAUCCUAUUUUUAUGGAACACAAAUAUCCAUUAUCUUUUUUAAUUCUAAAAUAAAUUUAAAUUUUUUAUAAAAAAAACCUCUCGCAUGCGCGGAAGCGCGUGCAGAGAGGCUAGUACGAAUUACGGGUGAAAAAACCAGUGGAAUUAUACGGCGCCAACACUGUAAUUCCCGCAAUAAUACGGUGCCGACGUGUACGCUCCAGAUUGCACCCCUUUCCAAUUAAAGAGUGAGCUCACUGGGGCCCGCAAUCAAUCAUCCAAGUCGCAUUGAAAAAGAGAACCCACGUGGUCACCAAUAAAUAUCAACUCCUCCUCCGACCUUCGAUCUUUGUGUUAUAUGUCAGCUCCACCAAUCAGAUAUCCUCAUACCAAUUUGACCGGAAACCGCCAUGACUCGGUUGGCUAGCGCCGUCGUCCUGUUGUUCCUUGUCUCCCUCUCCAGUUUCGCUGCCGGUAGCCGGGACCUGAUCGGAGACGUUUUACGGUUACCUUCUGAAGCUUCUAGAUUCUUCGGCAGAGGCGAUGACGGCCCUGAUGAGCAAGACGACGGCACCGUGGGGACCAGAUGGGCUGUUUUGAUCGCUGGCUCAAAUGGAUACUGGAAUUACAGGCAUCAGGUCUUAAUUUUACACGAUAUCAUCUUUCUUAAUUCAGAAAUAUUCUUUUUUGUUAUCAAACUUCAGUUGUUAAUGGAAUUUGAGUUAUAAUUUUGGAUGUUAAUUUCAAUUUUUUUUCCCUUCAUGUUUUUUGAAUUGUUUGAUAUCUGAAUUUGGGUAACCUCAUAUUGGAAAGUUUAUGCUUGUAUAAUCUCGUUUAAAUUUGACUUUCAGCUUAUCCAAUUUCUGAUUCUUUUACCUUGUUGCUUUCGAAUUUGUCAAACUAAAUUUUGGAAGCUUAGAGUUUGUUUUGGAACUAAUAUGAAUUUAGCUCAAGCUUGUGUCUUUCUUAUCUUCCUUGAUCUCAUCUCAUUUUGACUAAGACAGAGUUUUAAAUUUACAUGUGGCUUGAGUUUGUUUUGGAACUCAUAUGCAUUUAGUUCAAGUUCGUUUUAUUAAUUAUUAUAUUCCUUGAUCUCAUCUCAGUUUGAAACUUUGACAUGGAGUACAUGAUCUCAACGUUAACCAUAUUUGUAUAGGAGCUGGAUUUCUGUGUCAGGGGUGAAAUUGAUACUUUUGUUGUGUCUAUAUCUUCAUAUGAAUGUCAAUAAAUAUCUUAUUGGUUUCACAUAUUUGAAAGCUAAGCCACCCUCAUUUCUUGAUUGAUGUUUAACACGGACCUUUUUAUCUUGUUUGUUUAGGCUGAUAUUUGCCAUGCUUAUCAACUACUGAAGAAAGGUGGGCUGAAAGAUGAAAACAUUGUUGUAUUCAUGUAUGAUGAUAUCGCUUAUAACGAAGAGAACCCUAGGCCCGGAGUCAUCAUUAACAGCCCACAUGGUGAUGACGUUUACAAAGGAGUCCCAAAGGUCUGUUAUCUUCCCCUCUAGGUGUUUACCUGCUUCUGAAUUGAUAGUUAUAAUUCCCCUCAUGCGGUCGAUUUUACGGUGGCAGGAUUACACCGGCGAUGAUGUUACUGUUAACAAUUUUUUUGCUGCUAUCCUUGGAAAUAAAACUGCUCUUACAGGGGGUACUGGGAAGGUUGUGGACAGCGGUCCAAACGAUCAUAUUUUCAUUUACUAUUCUGAUCAUGGUGGUCCUGGAGUUCUCGGUUAGUAUCAAUUCUGCACAUGACAAUACUGACAUUAUUUUGCCCACAUCCCCAUAUCUUAUCUACUUACUCUUUCCCUAGGGAUGCCUACCAGUCCAUAUAUUUAUGCUAACGAUCUAAUAGAAGUCCUGAAGAAGAAGCACGCAGCAGGAACCUAUAAAAGCUUGGUAAGUUUCUAGUUGAACUGUAAAUAGAUGCUGCAUAUACCAAUAGAGUUGGACUAAUUCGUAGAACUGCAGGUAUUUUAUCUUGAAGCUUGUGAAUCCGGAAGUAUCUUUGAGGGACUUCUUCCUGAAGGUUUGAAUAUCUUUGCAACUACGGCAUCAAAUGCAGAAGAGAGCAGUUGGGGGACUUACUGUCCAGGAGAGUAUCCUAGUCCUCCCCCGGAGUAUGAAACCUGCUUGGGUGACCUGUAUAGCGUUGCUUGGAUGGAAGACAGGUAUGCAGAAUUAUUUUAUUUUGUUAAAUUUUCAAUAAAGGGGUGGGAAGAAAAGCAGCUUAAUGUUAGCUUCAUUUUGCAUACCCUUGGUAAAUAAUAACAAUUUCAUCUUUCCCUAAAAGUGCAUUACUUCUUGAGUAUUGUCACUUUAAGAUUUGCCUCAAAAUAUGAAGAAUAUAUGAAUUAGGUAGAAGUUUGAAACUGUAUCAUUUCAUGCCAGUUGUUUUUUCUUCUUUAAUUCUUGCACUGGUGGUGUGGGUGUUUGGAUUGUCUUUGCAAGAGCAGUUUCUUUCUCAGGUUGGAGAAUGAAACUGUUCAAAUUAUAAUUUUCAUUUGAGAUUUAACAUUUUGACCUUGUGAACAGUGACAUACACAACUUGAGGUCGGAAACUUUGCACCAACAGUAUGAGCUGGUAAGAAUUCGUCUCUUAACACAUUGUUAUGGAACAGAUAGAGAUUUUUUUUUCUUCUUUUGUACAGGAAAGACCAGCUGUUUAUUAUUGUAUGUUUAAAUAAAAGAGAUUGUCUGUAUUUAGAGAAGUCUUGGGGGUCUAGCCAAGAAAUAUCUAGAUGUGAUCCUGCUAGUUGCUAAUGUCAGUUCUUUGAUUUCAUUAUGAUGGCCCAGGUUAAAACGAGGACAGCAAAUGACAAUUCUGGCUUUGGUUCUCAUGUCAUGCAAUAUGGCGAUGUAGGGCUCAGCAAGGAAAACCUCUUUGUGUAUAUGGGGACAAAUCCUGCAAAUGAUAACUACACUUUUCUGGGCGAGAACUCCUUGAGGCCAUCUACAAAAGCUGUCAACCAGCGGGAUGCUGAUCUUGUCCAUUUCUGGCAUAAGGUUAACUCUUACCUUUUUCAUCCGUGAAUAGUUAUUUUGCCUUUUCUUUUAAAUAUCUAGUCUUAAAAUUUAUGUACUAGUCAUCAUCGGUACUUAUAUUUGGAAGUAUUUCAUACUGUUAGAUAUUAUGAUUGAUUUGAUUAAAAGUCAGGAGAGAUCAGUAAUGAUGAUUGGGGAAUACUCCAUGUUUUCAUUGUUUAAACGGUAACAUAUCAUAAGUACCAUGGAGGUUUUGGAACCAUGCCAUUUGCCCUGCUCUCCUGUGAAGCUCCAAACAAAGCAGUAGAAUAUCUCUGCUUGGAACAAGAAUUUUGAAUACCAAAAAGGGAAUGAAACCAAGGUUUUGAUUAAAUAAAAGCCUUAAUUGUUAUGAAAAUCUAAGGUUCUACUUCUGAAUAUUCUGUGGUUUUGUAACUAUUUCUGUGUGUUAGCUGUCAGCCUGAAGAUCUAAGCCCCUUGUUUUCCCUUCUUUUCUUUUUCUGGAUGCAGUACCGCAAAGCUCCUGAAGGCUCACCAAGGAAAAUUCAAGCUCAAAAGGAUUUUGUUGAAGCAAUGUCUCAUAGAAUGCAUAUGGAUCAAACCAUGAAACUUAUCGGGAAACUCCUGUUUGGAAUCAAGAAAGGUCCAGAAGUGCUCAACACUGUUCGACCUGCUGGGCAGCCACUUGUUGAUGACUGGGACUGCCUUAAGACAAUGGUAGUACUUCUGCUGUUCAUUUUCUCCUUAAUGCUGUUAAAACUUUUCUGAUUCCAUCUUGUUCUGCAUAUAAAACAGAUUUUCACAAAUAAUAUAUGUGGCUGUGCCUGAUGGGUUUGUGUGUGCAGGUGAGGAGUUUUGAGACAUAUUGUGGAUCCCUAUCUCAAUACGGGAUGAAACACAUGCGGUCCCUGGCAAACAUCUGCAACGCCGGAAUGACAAAGGAGCAGAUGACCGAGGCUUCAGCACAAGCCUGCACGAGCGUUCCUUCUAGCCGUUGGAGCUCCCUGCACCGGGGGUUCAGCGCAUGAUUUCAAGAAGAAGAAAAAAUGUGGGAUUUGAAUAACCAAUCCGUGGUCAUCUCUAUAUGCAAAACAUAUCUUAGGAUGCAUUUCGAUUAUUGUUAAUGUUAUUCUGAUUGCUUCAGUGUAACCUUGUGUAAAUACAACUCAAGCCCCUGUACUGUAAUGCACGUACCUACUGAAUCUUGUAAGUAAAUAUUAGCAUGUUUGUUGCGUAUGAAUACGUACCUGUUUGCUGCAGCUGGUGUACGCAUCAGGCUCUGGUUAUAAAAAAGUUUGCAAUUACGAUAUGCCUUUGUUUUAUGUUCACUUUGGUUGCUUCAUUAAGGAAGUGAGUGGCUUGUCUCCAUCUCCUUCACCACCACCACUAACAGAACAUAAUUAUCGCGUAACACUUUCAACUUUAUGUCUAUUUGAGUUAUUAUUUACAAUUACAAUUUUUUUAUAUUAAAAUUUAUCAAAUAAUUUUGACAAUGCUUUUUGUACUAGCACUUCAAAAGAAUUAUUUAUUAAACAUGAAGUUGCUUUACUUUACAAUUAAUUAUUUUUAAAGCACAAUAAAAUUAAAUUUUUUAAAAAAGUCACAUCAAUCUCAAAUUCCCCUUCUUUCUUGUCCGUCUCCAAAUGGUAAACUGGUAAUCUAGCUUUUGACCCCCAAAAAAAUGGAAAUCUAGUGGGCCUUUCAUAAGAUAAUGUCAUUAUCAUUGUGUGAGUAUAUUCCGUGUAAUUGAGUAAUGAAAGAUAUCGAUCGCGUUGGGAAUUGGGGAAAGUUAGAAAUAUUUAAGAGACGGAUUUACUCCCUCAAUUAAUGUAAUUUAUGGGUUUUCAAGAAUUAAAUGACGGAUUUUAAUGUGGAACACACAUAAAUUUGUAUACCUGAUGUAAAUUUAAGAGUUGGAAUAAUUUUAAUAUCCAUUAUAGGCAAAUGAACAUGCCAUGCUAUAGGUGUGUGCCCAAUUUCAUUGUGGAGAACGUAGCCGUAGGAGAGCAUGCGUCCAACCCCAAAUUCCCUUUCUUCCUCACCUUGCUCCAACCUGUAGCUGCCAAAAUGUAGGUAAGCAACAGCCUACAUUACGGGUCCAAUAAUGUACAAUUUUGGCAAAGUCCAAUUACUUUAAUGAUGGAAUGAUUGUAUAGUUAAAUCUUACUUAAUAAGAUAAGAGUGAGAGUCAAAUUUAUACGGUGCAUAUUUAUUUCAUGUGUCAAUGCCAAUUAUAUUACAUAUUUUAAUUGAAUAAUACGGACCAUUUAACUUGACACAUGCAAAAUUAUAGAUGAGCUUGUAAUUGUAACAUUAAGAUUCACACAAAAAACGAAACUCACAAUAUUUAGCUGAAUGGAAAAUGUUUUCAAGAUGCAUCUAUCAUAAGUUCUAGCUGUGAACAUUAUUAUAUGGCAGUGUCCCAUCCCAUGGUCUCCCCAAGACUCACAACCCAACAUUUUCUUUUUCUUUUUCUUUUUCUUUUAUUUUUUUAUUUUUAUAAAACGCAACCCAACUUUAAAAAUAUGAUCCAUAAUUGCAUAUUGUCAAACCAACAGUGAAAAAAAAAAAAAAAAAAAGGGAAGCAGGAACCGACGCUCUAGAUUCAACAAUUUUAUUUGGUCAACACACAAAUAUUUAAGCUUGGCUUAUAUACGGUCUAUAAUCGGCCACAGGAACCGGACAUCAAGGACAAUUGUCUGAUAACGUGAAAUCCACGACUCUGGUUAAACUUACCAUGGUUAGUUCACUAUAACCAUACUACAACGAACCGGUUCACCAGAAAAAUAAAAUUAAAAAAUUAAAAAAUUAAAAAAAGGUAAAGGAUGAAUAAAAAAAUAAUUGGGUAAUGCAAAUUAUUGCCACUUAACGGAGUAGUAGAUUCUGUUAGAUUCAUUUGACGAGGCGAAGAGGGGGCGCAUAGUAAGAACGUUGUAACGAGGUUUAAAAGAGACGGAGCUGACGGUUUAAGAUAGGGAGACGCGGGAGCCGUUGGAUUGUUGAUCAAGGGCCGAUAAUGCAAGGCGUUGGACGGUUCAAGUGUGACGGAGAGUGGGAGGGGUCGUAUAAAGCCUGGGUUUUGAAAGGUGAGAGUGCAUUUCGUUCCAUCAAAACAAGAAGAAGAAAGAGGAAGAAGAAGGAGAAAGAGCCUCUCUGACGUUUUGGCCUUCGGUUUUUCUUCUGCUUUAGAAUUUAAAGAGGAAUUCGGGAGAGAAUUCGUAGAGCUGGACUGUGUGUAAUGUUAAGGAUCUAAUUACGAAGCUUUUCUGUGAGCCUGUUGUGUGUUCGCGGGAGAGAGAAGGAGAGAAGAGCUUGCAGAGGUUGGUGAUGGAGAAAACAGAGCUCGAUUUUGGUAGUUUUAAUGUAAUCUGAUUUCUUAGAAUGACCGGGUUAUUUUGUGCAAUUUCUGUUUUGCAGAUACAUUCAGAAGAGCUUUUGGAGGAAUUUGAAGUGAAAUCGAUUGCGAUUUGCUGGGAUAAUUUCCAAGGUGGACCUCAUUUCAUUGAAAUUUACAGAGAAAAGGUCGAGAAAUCUAGUUUAGAGGUGAGGGGAGUUGGAUUUGCUUAAUUUCCUAAACGAUUUCACUCCCUUAUUCUAACUCAUCGUUCGUUUGAUUUUGGUUUCACAGGUACAUUUCCCGGAGAUUUGACCCCUUUUUUUUGAAGAAAUCUCAACUGGGGUAUGAGAUAAAGAAGAACAAGCAUCUCUCAUUCAUGAGUGUCAGGGACAUAGGCUCUAAGUUUCAAUCAUUUCGUUGAUUUUCGGCUCUAGAUUUGCAUUUUGCAAAGUCAGAAGGCCUAGAAGAGCAAGAUUACCCAAAAGAAGCAAACUUUCUUUUGCAAAUUCAGGAUUGUAGCUGCUUGCGAAAUCUCAGUAUAACAGGUGAGGAUUCAUUUUCCGAAUCCUAGAUCAGUGAAACCAAGUCUCGGGCUUAGGAUUUCACUGGCUGAUUUGAUUUCCUUCCAUUUUCGGUUCUUCGAAUUUUGAUAUCUUUCUACUCAAUUUGGUUUCUUCAAGGAGGCUCUCACUUUUCUCUUCUUUUUCCUCAUCUGCAGCAGAGUCCAAGCAAUUGGUUUCUCUGUUUUUUGAUUUUCGAUGUUCAAAAGCAGAUAACUUUGCAACAGAAUUUUAAGCUUUUCAAAUGAAGCCAGCCGAGUUCCUUGACUCUCUCUCUCUCUCUCUCUCUCUCUCUCUCUCUCUCUCUCUCUCGCUCGCUGGGUCUUACAUUUGGAUCCAUCAUCUUUGUCCAUCAUCUUCUUUCAAUUUUCUGUCAUCUGCCUUCUGUGCAAGAAUUUUCAAUUUCAAAAAACUAAUUGACCUUUAUAUUUGGGAAGAUUAUCUCUUCUUCUUCGUCUUCUUCUUCUUCCUCUCCUCCUCCUCCCCAUUUUAAAGGCUUUUAAUAUAUUUUUCUGAAUGAUUUCCGUCUGUAUUAUCAGCAUUGAAAAGAAAAGACCUUCUCUAUGAAAUUUUACCCGCUGUUUUGUGAAAAAUCUAUCUAUCUUUGGUGUUCUUUGCUGGCAGUCCGAAGUUUGUGUCUUUUCCGAAAUUCAAACACCAGCAGAGUGCAAAAUCUUCUGUUUGGUUCUCGGGAAACUGAUACAAGAAAAAACUGAGCUAACAGACGUAAUUGCUCAACUUAUUUAAUCGCAAUUCGUUGGAAGCGUCUGAUAAAAAAAAUAUAUAUAUAUAUCAAAGAUACAAUUUUCAUUCUUUGUCCUUUCCCUGCCUUUUUUUUUUUUCGAUCUUCAUCUUCUCCGUCUGUUUGGGUAGGCCCUGCUUUUCAUUUGAAUUUUAUUUUUAGGCACUCGCAGUUGCAGAGAGCCAGCCACAAUCCAAUUCCAGAUUCUCAGUUUUUGCCAUUUCCGUCCCUAACUUUAAUUAUGAGCAUUAACCGCGGUUAAAGUGUAAAAAAUCAUGUUAACUAACUAACCGCUGUGAUUAAUUCUUGUUUUGGCAUGGGUGGACAGGUGUACAAAAGGAGAUGGAAAGGGACUGUCUUAGGCACACCCAUACUAAAGACACCCACAAUCCCAACACUCGAGACAAAACCGGAGGGGACGCCUCAGCCUCUCUGCUGUUGAGAGCGAGCCCCGAUGCCAUACGACACGCAACGACGUCGUCCGAUUUCGUUUUGCAGUGGGGGAACCGCAAGCGCCUCAGGUGUAUGAAGAUCCAGGUCAAAGACAAGGGCAAAGACGACUCCGACGCCCCGGUUACCCGAACCACAGUCCGGGUCGACCGCCGGGUCGUCCGACCUGAUAAGGACCCGGCCAAUCAGCCUUCCACGGCCGGUAACUCUAAUCAGACGAAUGGGUAUUUGAAUCUCCGUCAACGGCCGUUAUCUCCGCAGCAGCCGCCACUUCAGCGUGUUCUCAGGUUACCACUUGCACUUCACGCUUUUGCUUUAUCUAAUCUAUAUCUAUUGCUUCCACGGGACGUCGUUUCGGUCCUGCCUUUCGUUAACAUGUAGUUUCGUCGUUUUGUGGGGUAGUUGUGGUGGCGUUUUGUCGUUUAAAUUAGUGGCGGGUGGGCCAGGUGCGUGGGUUUUGUCGUUUUUAGUUAUUUUGGGACUUGUUGCCUACGGUUACAUCUGUACAGUUUUGGUGCGGUUUUUAUAUAUACCUUGAUCUCACCGUCAGAUGCAUGAGUCAUAAUCAUCAGAUCAGGAGAUUUUAUAUUCAGACUUGCUUGAUUUUAGAUUUUAGAUUUGUGAGGAAAAAUCUCAGAUGAUUGCGUGGCCAAUUUCUCUACGUCUGUGAAGGUCAAAGAGAAUAAUUUUGUUAGGUAAGUGUUUGUUGCUUUGAUUAGAUUAUUUCAUAUGCAACAAUAGAGUGAUUGCAAAUUCUGUUAUCUUCUUCCUUGUUUGGUUGAAGAGAAAAUCUUGUUUGCGUGAAGGGAAAAUCUCUGAUUUUCUUGUGCAAAUUUGUCGCUUUAGAUUGGAUUGAUUUAUAUGAGUGGGACUGGAUAAAUGGAUAAGGCUAGAAAGCAUGGAAUUUUGUCCCACACCACUGGUUUUUUAUAUUCCUGGCCUGCCAUUAACAUGGCUGUGUUUAAUCCUAUGUGCUUAAUGUGUAGUUGAAUGAAAUUUUGUCGGAGGGUUUUUGAGAUUAGGAGUUUUAAUGAUGAAAUUUGGGGCUGAAUUUGUUGUGAGGCUUAUCUUAAUGAUCAACUCUCCAAUUGGUCAGGUGGGUGAAGAGAUGUAAAAGCCCCAGAAGGAGAGCUCAUGGUAAGUGCAUGAGGGUAGGGUGCCUUCUUUGUUUGUCUUUGUAGGAAACUAGUAGCAUAUGAUUGAAUUAGGUUGCUCAUGUAGUCAUGUAAUCUUUUUGGCUUGAUUGUGCACAACAUAAAACACAUUAACAUAACAAACAACUUAAAUUAGAGAAAGAGAGAGUCUUAGUGCCAUAAGGUCAAGCAUUUACCCUCACAUUCACGGCAAGAGUUUGAUUCUUCCUCGUUCGUGUUUUUCAGGAUGCGGUAUUAAAUUAUGGUAUCAUACAGGAUGGUGUAUCAAUAAGUUGAUGUCAAGCAUGAUUGAUUUGAUACUAGUUCUAGUUUUCUUUUUUGGAAUAAAUGCCUUAUUUAUUGUGAUUGAUUUGUUAUUUAUUUUAGACACGAUGUUAGGGCUGAUUUGAUCAUAAAUCUAGAAUGAUUAGGCUUGAGUAAAUUGAUUUCCACUAGGACUUGUGUAGCAGGCUUAUGUUGCUCAUGGUCACACCGGAUCGGGGCUCCACUACAUCUUAGCAUGAUAGCGUCCGAUCCAUAACGACCGGCACCCUGAUUCCAUGGGCUCAGUGGAAAUAGGAAAUGGGCAACUCCUAUUCCACGUGUCCACGGAAAACCAAUUCUUCAACCCCGUUUCUAGCCCUGGGAUCACUGAUGGAUCAGGCAAUGGAUCCACGCCUUCCACGUUUCAACACGUGUUCCUUAACCCCACAAAAGGCACUCUCAAUCCAACGGCUAAAAUCCUGCCCAAAAACCAGCUGUGCACGUUAUACAGUACAUCACAUCCCUUUCCUCUCUCUCUCUCUCUCUCUCUCUCUCUCUCUCAAAUAUCUAACUUUUCAUUAAAGAAAAGAAAAUUAACAACUCCCUCGUUUAAAAGCAGAACACAAAGGUCCCCCAAAGAAGCCAAAAACCACGCUAAUUUUCUACGCAAAACCCAUUACAAAGCCUCUCUCUCUCUCUCUCUCUCUCUCUCUCUCUCACACCAAUCCACCGAUCUAGAUCGUCUCAAGGCCAUUCCCGUAAUUUCACAACUACCCACAUUAAUUUAAUUUAAUUUAAUUUUUUGCCCAAAAAGUAUCAUUUAUUAUGUUUUGUGCCAGCUUUUUUAUGGGUUUAUUGAAUUCAAUUGAUUUGAUUUGAUUUGAUUUUGAUAUGCGUAUCUGAAUUGUGUAGAAACUCAGAGACCACAACAAGUGCCAUGAGAGGCCAGAGCAACGGAGGCUUGAGGGGAAUUGUUUCACCCGACAACAGAGGGGGUGCGCACGAUAAGAAAGGCAACCACCACCAUCACAACCACCACCACCAUAAUAAUGAGAAUAACAACACCAAGUCUGCAGCUUCUUCGGACACGGCGCACGAUAGUAAAAAGGGGGGAGGUGGGUCUUCAUCGGGAAGCGGCGAAGCAGCGUUGGCGCCACCGAUGGUCUGGCCGCCGAAGUUCGUGAUUGCUUUGACCAACAAAGAGAAAGAAGAGGACUUCAUGGCAAUCAAAGGGUCAAAAUUGCCUCAGAGACCCAAGAAGAGAGCAAAGUUCAUUCAACGCACCCUCAAUGUAAGCUCCUCUAUUUUCCUUUUUUAGUUACUUUAUUAAUUAAUUAGUAUUAAUUAAAACUAACUAGUUUUUUUUAUUUUUUUUCUUUCUCUUUUUAAAAUAACACCAUUGCCUUGCAAAAACAAAUCAAAACCCAGUUUGAUUUUAUUAUAUUUAUAUGGUUGUUUUACCUGUAUUUAUGCAAAUUGUUGUUGCGACAAAAUGUGGACUAGCUUAGAAGGAAGGAAAAGCAAAAAAUAAUAAAAUAAUAGAAUAAUAAAUAGAACUUUCUGGUAUUUGUUUAGUUUGGGUUAAAAGAAGCCGAAGAAGAUUGCUAAAGUGACAGCAAGAACAAGGCAUACACGUGUCCGCCAAGCCAUGUAUGCAUAUACCUAAUAUGCCUAAAAGUUAGUUUGCUGUCCGACUGGAAUAGUAUUAAUAGGACGAUGGUUUGGGUUAAGAUUAAAUUCUAUAUUAUUCAUAAUAAUAUGAUAAUGAAAUAUUUUAUUUAGGGUCGCCUCGUUUAGUGGAAAAUUGAUGUCACACGUGGCAAUACAUGGUUGUUGCUUUUGGGUUGGUUAUCGUGGCGAUGGACGGUGCGUGGCGUCUCAUGUGGCCGCAUGUGAUUUAGUGGGCAUCAGUGGACGUUUAAAGCAAGUGGGCCUUAAUUCUGUACUAACCGACAAAAAAAGGGCAUAUGGGUCGAAACGGACCCUGGGCCUGUUACCGUUGGUUUUUUUUUGGGGGGUUCUUUUUGGGAAAUAAUAUGCUUCAUGUUGAGGGCAUAUAGGUAUUUUCACUAGCCCUUAAUUAUGCUAACUGUUUUCUGGCUUGGACCGCACUGCCAACUGCUGAGCACAAAAGCACGAAAGCUGACUACCCACAAUGCACCGUUUUCGUUUUUUAAGUUCCAAACAUAGCAAAACUCAUCAAAGUGCUUAUCAAAAAGCCUAUCCCGCUUUUUGCCCAUUACCUAAAGCAAAAGCUACGCUUUUGCCAGUCUGUUUUUGCUUGUUUUGGCCUCUUCCUUUUAAUUAGCUGGAAGAUUAUUGUUCUAAUUAGUUUUUUAUUUUCUGUAAUUUUGUUUUAUAGCUGGUAAGCCCAGGAGCAUGGCUCUGUGAUCUGACCCUAGAACGGUACGAGGUCAGAGAGAAGAAGAUUUCCAAGAAGGUAUUUUAUUGAGUAAUUUUCUUCGAUUCAGGGCCUAAAUCAAAUUUCCUUAAUUUGCCUUUAAUGUUGAUAUUUUUAUGCAGCAGAAUGAAUAGUUUUUUUGUGUUUUUGCAUGAUGCUGCAGAGACCAAGAGGGCUAAAGGCGAUGGGCAACGUGGAGUCUGACUCUGAAUAGAAAGGAGUUUUAGUGAAAAGACUAAUAUAGCAUUUUCGUUUUUUUUCUCCUCCUUUUUUUGAAGGUAUGAGAAAAAUGUUAGAACUUUGUAAAAAUCUUCACCUUUCAACCAUCAGAAUAAUGAAUGGAUUCAUUUCCGGUCCUGUAUACAGUCUUGUUCCUCAUCUUCCUACUAAGUUUGUUUAAUCAGAACAAGAAAAAAAAAACAAAUCAUCACGUCCAAGCACACGAACAAAUGAAAUUUCUCUCUUUCAAACCCUAAUUGUGAAAAAUAAUUAAAAUAAGCUUCAGGGAUGUAAUUCAAGUGGUUAGUCAUGACAUGUUACACAAUCCAACAAUUUUUUGUUUUCUUGUCAACCUACAACACAUUUUCUUAUGUCGUAUUAAGUUAGAAAAGGGAAUUAACGGUGUUGGAUAGUCGUCCAAACGCACGUGAGUGUCUUAUGAUUGUUCAUAUAUUAACAUAUGGGUCUCAGUCUAACAUACAUCGAUGACUUACGGUGGAAGUGCUCAUUAGGCAUGGGCAAAAUCAGUUUCAGACUUCACCAUCCGAGUGAAAAAGAAACUCGAGACUCGAUCGCUCUCAAGAUGUGAAGAAAAUCACGAAAUUGACUCUUGAGACGAGAUUUGAGACUCUUUAGAGGUUAGACUUCAAGAAGGAAGAAGAAAAACAACAAACCAUAACUCUCUUUAGCUGACACACGUAACGUAAAACCACAAUAUAUGAAUUUGCAAAGCUAUUAAAGACAAUGACAUCUAAAAAUUUACCCGAGACAGGAGAAAAACCAGAACCCCAACUCCCUAAAGUUACCUAGUCAUUAGCAAAUUGAAGGGCCACGUCUAAUUUAUAAUGAUAAGAGAUAAUAUCAUUGUUUGGUCGCAUGAUUUGUGGAUGCCACUUUACAUUAUGUGGCCUCCUUAAUUGGUAUUUUGAUGUGACACGGAACACUUAACGCGGUAAUUUAAUUUCUUAACGUAAUUGACAAUUUCAAUGAAAAUCCAUGACCUAUCAUAUCAGACCACCAAACCAAACCCAACUGAAUUAAACUAUUGGAAGAGGAGAAAACAUGGGUCCUAAUUCAAAUUAACAUUCAUAAUUCGCCAUCAUUGACGGGAAGACCCGAAUUAAUCCCCUUAAUUAUGCCACGAAGAAGCAUAAACACAUUUUAAGAAUAACAUCUGCUCUGUGAGAGUUUGUGGAGACAGACAGAUCCACCACCCACCAUCCAGCUGGUUCUCAAAAGGCAAUUCUAAUGCUACCUGCGGGUCGUGAAGAAAAGAGGAAGAUUUUUCAAUUUAAUUAGCCCCCAAAAAAUAGCAUGGAAAAUACCCCCAAAGGGCCCUAAAUAUACCCUUACCCACUGGGCAUAUUUGUCAAUAAACACUGAAAUUAGGGAUUUUUUCAGGACCCAAACACAAUUGCUAUAGUCGGUGACCCAGAGCCUAUCAAAUUAUAAACUCAUUACGUGUUGCAGUUGGAAUUACAGCUUUAUUCUGUUAGAAUAAAUGAUUAAUUUACACCGACUUGGCUACGCCGCUUUUUUGGUCCAAGCGAAAAUAAAAUAAUUGGAUCUGGAUUUGUAAUUUGCCGCUUUUUAUUUGCAGGUAAUGAAAAUGAAAUAACAAUUUGGAUAUUAGUUAAUUUUGAUAUCACAAGCUAGACAAACACCAUUCUCAAAGCAACUCAAGCAUCAAACACAGGAGGAGGAGGAGGAGGAAGACAAACGAAAUAAAAUCAAUGAAUUAUUUACUCAUAAUAAGGAUAAUAAUCGAAAUCCACAAAUACAAAACCCAUAGUAAUAAACCAAGUGCAUUAUAUAUGUAGUCUAUGCACCACAAAAACCCAUAUGACACUGAAAAUCCUAUAGAUCCAUAAUCACCAGCUACUAAAAUGACAAACGCUACUAAUAAAAAACCAAUCAGAAACCCAACCGCUCUCUACACAGCCCCAACCAUAGUUGCAGUAGUAAGCGAAGACUCAAACCCUGAGCGCAGAUCCGAAGACGAUAGCGGCGAAGGCGGCGGCGAAAGCAGAGAUGAACGACGGGGAGAUGGAGGCGGAUGCGGAGGUUGGGCUAGGAGCUGGAGAUUCGGCGGCCUGAGCGGCGCCGAUGACAGAAAGGACGGUGACGAAGACCGCCAUGAGAGCCACGAGUGAAGUUGCCUUUGAGACUGCCAUUGUUGAUUGGUGUGAGAGUUUCUUGUGCUUCGGAAUCUAGGGUUUUGGGAAUACGCCGAGAGACUGAAGCACAAAUAUCAGAGGUGGAAUGAAGUAGGCUCAAGGAACGUAUUUAUAGCGGGGAUUUUGGGCUGGGGUCGGGCAGCCUGGGCAGCUGCCCGGUUCUACAGGCUGGCUACUUGUGAUUGGUUCAGCGCGACAGCUCACACCGCUGGUCGGGGUAAAUUUUUCUCUGUGGGCCCCACUAGAAACCAGUGUCUACGCGGAGUCGUUUCACGCACGAUUUUACCUUCGUCUGAAACGACGCCGUGUGUUCACAUUCCUUAACGAAAGGGCUUUUCGCUUCGCGGCCGAGUCGACUCAGUGGAGAAUAUAUUCGCAAGAAUCUUCUAGCUUGCGACGCGCGGAUCAGAUUCUGUCCGUACGGUGUCAUUUGAGUCACAUCACAUGAUGAACGGUCCAGAUGAACCCGUGGGAACACGUGGGAAUGGAAGAGGUUAUAACGGUUUCGCGGUAAAAAAAUUUGGUUUUUUAUUUAUUUUUAAACUUAAAAAAUGGCCCACAAUGCGCAAUCAGGGAGAUUACAGCGCAGAAAACACAGAGAGGAUGCGUGACUUUCUGGUGAGCGACUCGAUGGCCAACGGGCGAUCGACACGUGGGGAUUUCGAAAAAGACAGGUUGUUAAAUUGCGAGGAAAAAGAUACGACAGGUGUAGGGUGGGAUUUGGUUCUGUUGCUUCUGAUAUUUUUAUUUCGCGGGAUUUCCAGAACAUUCGCUUGGCAUUUUGCGUUUUGGAGUUGAGGGGCGCACAUGCGUGCGGGUGAAGUUACCGUAAUGCCCUUGAGAGUGAUUGGGUGCGUGUCAAUUUUAUAUUCACGUUCAUUAUGAGGAGCUAUGAGUAUCUACUUAAGAAAACCAAAAGGAAUGUGGCGCUGAAUCUGAAUGGGUUUGAAGUCCAUUAAUGCGUUCCAGGGCUUUUCAACAUUUUGUUCCAUAUUCCAUGCCGUGCCCACUGGCUAAUGGGUUUGAUGUGGGCCCAACAUAUUCUUUUCUCGUCAAAUCCAAAUAAAGAGGCCGGGUGUUACGGGAGCUCCUAUAAUCCAGGUCGGUUUAUGUCGUCGAAGUUUCAAUUCAGCUGUCUAAUAAUAAUACUCUUAAAGUGUUGUUGAACGAACUCACAAAUUAACUGUGUUCACUUUACUAAUAAACUAUUUAUUGAAUUAUCAAUUUGCUCUAGUAUAAAAUGACCAAAAAUGAUAUAUUGAAUUGUGAAAUAAAUGUAAUGUUAAUAAAUACACCAUACACUAAAUAAAUAAAUAAAAAUUACACCUUUCUCACUAUAUUCAACCAAAUUGAACUUUUGUUUUCUUUUUCUUUUUCUUUUUCUUUUUCUUUUUUGGGUUUGUUUGUUAACCUCAAUAAUAAUAAAUGAAUAAUUAGGGAGGGACCAACCAUAAAGCCAAGCAGGAUUAACAAAUAUGUAUAGAGAUGGGUUAGUAUUAUGAGACAACCAUCACAAUGUCUGUCUGAUUCAUAUAGAACUGCAUAAUUAAUGACAAUGAUGAUAUUAGUGUGUAUCAGGGGUAUUUUUAAAGUUUUUAUAAUUGUGUAUUAGUGUGUAUCAGGGGUAUUUUUGGUAGUUAAAUAUGGUGUACUUAGUUAAUUUUACAUUUUGAUUUAAAUAUUAAAGUAUGUUUAGAUCAUAGGGUGUACUUAGUUAAUUUCAGAGUUCGUUUAGCAAUGCUCUACUUUUAUUGAUCAGACAACUAUGAAGACUCCCACACUAUAGCCUCAUACAAGUGGUACGCAGCAUAAAUGGGCAUGUAAACCAUAGAGGACCAAGAUAUAGAACCGUUGACGCACGUAAGUUCCACAAUACUGUUAAUAUAUGUGCGGGCGACUCCGAGUAACUGUUAACCUAGAGUCAGAGAAAUGAAAUUCAAAUAUAAAAUAUUUUAUUCUAAUGUCGAUUUCUGAAUACAAAAAUGUGAAUUUGAUGCAGUGCUAAAUAAGGUGUGCUACUUCUCUGUACAUCUGAUACUGAUACUGUUGUGGACGGGGGUUUUGGCCAAAGAGCUAUCAAGUGAACCUCAACUAAUAAUAAUAUUACAGCUGAGGUUGAAUUCUAUGAUGACAAAUAACACACACCACAAACAGGGAAUUUUGCAUGCUCUUCGGCUAGAGAAGUUUGAUUUGACUGAGGAUUUAUGUGUUAGAAGCCCAAAAACUUUGGUGCUAAAUGCAGAAGGGGUUCCAUAGCACUUGGAGCAAAUUUUCUUCCAAAAAGAAAGCAGAUUGAAGAGUUCCGGUCGUUGUAAGUGCAGCGAUGACCCUCGAGCAUUCUCUUGAAGAAUUCCUCAGUGAUAUCAGCUCUUCCAAAGGUAGCUGGGUGAGGUCCACCCCUUGACCAAUCCACCCAAGUGAUGCUUCUGUUUGCUAAGGAAUUCCCUGCUUGAAUGGUUAGCAUGGUGGGGAAAUAGUGCUCAUCAACAUAACAUGCGGGUCUACAGAACUUUUCAAAUUUUUGGUAAAAUGUCGUAUCUUCGACAAUGCUGAUGGCAAGCUUCCGGUUAACUUCAAACCAUUGGGAGCCCUUGCGCCACUGGGUUAUAUUCACUUCAGGUGCCAUGUUAUUAUUAUAGCGUCCUCUCCCGAAUGGCCCAGGGUCGUCAAAUGCACCGAUGAAGCUGUACUUGGAUUUCAUUAAGUAGUGGUAAAUGACACUGAAGUUAUAGAGCGGAAUGCAAGAUUCGGAAACAAGAAUGAACCAUUCAUUGGAUAUGUCAAGCAAUGCAUUAGCAAGGAGCCUUCUCUCAGCAUCACACAUACUCAUUCUUCCCCACUCAGAAACCUGCACAGCAGAAAACCAAAACUCUUAGCAGAUAUGUAAGAGAUAUUGCAUAAUAUCUAUCCAGAUUUGAACAGAAAAAAUUUCUACAGCAGCAACCAAGAUGACCUCAAAGAAAUUAGACAAAACAAGUUAUCCUCAAGCUACAAAGCAACAACAAUAUAAUUUUCCCUGGAUACUCUGUUUUUGAAGCUACUAACUGCGGAUCAUGAGUUUCUCUUUUGUUCAAAACACCCAGGUUAAAAAGUAAAACAAGCAGAGAUUUUAUGGAAUAUGUUCAUGAAUCUGAAAUAAAUACUUGGUAUGUUUCUAUACAAGCUUGAACUCUAUCACAAAGCAUCAUUCACAUAAAUAAUUAAUUUCUUCCUCAUAACCUGAAGGCAGAUAUCAUGACAGUAUGGAAAUGUCAUGAUUGUGGCACGAGAACAAGUCAGGAAUCAAGAACGUAGAUUAAAAAAAAAACAUCAGGACUAUGUGAAGAGGUCCAGGGUGCCACCCCAGUAGUCAAUGCCUUUACAUCAGCUGUUCAUCAUGUACGAAAACAUUUAUGCAUCUGCUUUUUUCAUGUUUAUAAACACAGGUGUUGUAAUAGUCUCAAGAUCCAAAAGUUAGCAGCAGAUGGAGUGGACCUAGUGGAGUUUCACAUGCAGGAUUGUCAAAUUCAUGGAAUAAAGAGUCAAAUCCAUUCACUUAGUUGAGUUUGCACUUGACACACGAGUCCAUGGAACAAAUAGGGCGUCCUGCCCUCCCCAAGAGAUGGUCUAUAUAUCCUACAUCACUGUAAUUCUCAAUACAUGAACAUGAUAAAACUGACCUGUUCCUUUCUACCAACACACAGAAAGGUAGUUUUAACCCUUUCUUUGAUGAUAAGCAAAAAUUACCAACUCUUGGAAAGAUGAAUUUCGGAUUUCAUCAUGUCUUAAGCUUCACAUACAUAACCUAACAUUUUUAAAUGCAAGAGACCAGGGUGUGUGCUCACCACAGAGCAAAUAUAGGAAAUCAAGAUGUGCAGAAAGUAAAAACCAGAUAAACCAGUGAUAGAGAACUAGAUAUCUACGAAUUUACCUCAAAAUAAAAAAUAAAAAAAUAAUUUUGUACUUGCUGAAGGAUGCUUAGUAGAACAUGCAAUCUCACAAAGGAUAGAAUAUGGACCUGGCUAGGAAUGUGUCUCCCAUAAAAAACGGACGAAGUGUGAAAAUGAGGUUGAAAUGACGGCAGUGAAUGAACGUAGAUUGAAUAACGUCCUUCAUGUCCCUUCAGAAACCUCUCCCAAAGGGGUGCCAGCGGCAACGGCCCCCUGGUCAAGAACAUAAAUGCAAUCUUUGGAACUCUCUCAAAAGGAUACUUCUUUAUUCUAGGCAUAAGAGAAGCCCUCCACAAUAAUUCCUUAUCAGUCAUAGUGUGUUGAAGAUUUGAUGGCGGCUUAAUCCACCGGUCCAAACCACUCGGUUCCUCAUAGCAUGGCUGGAAAGAGGACGUGACCGUUGUCAUCACCCCAUUAAUUCCAAAAUGACGAAUCGUCAAUAUGCUAAUGACUGAGAAAGUAAUACAGAAAAGCACAAACAGCACAAACAACUGAAGUAGCCUUAUCGGCAAUGCCUUGGUUUGGUUUGUCCUGCCAGUAACUCCGGGGUCCUUGCCUUCCUCUAAUGGCACAACCCUUGAUUGCAUGGUUUGCAUCUUGAUUAAAACACUGCACCAAAAUCAAUUUCUAGCUCUUCUGAUUACUACAGAGUACCUCCAAGUCUCAAAAUUUUGGACACCUAUUGACUUCUCUCAAACAAGAAAACCCACAGUCCAAAAUUGCAUCUUGCAUCACAAACGGUGAAGUGAACACGAAUUUAAUCACAUUGGAAUCUGAAUCACUCAGUUUUCUUCAAAACUGCAACCCCACCAAAUAAAAACACACUGCACAGAUCUGAAACUAAUACUACAGUACUGAACACAUACUGCGUAAAAAAUUUUAACUUCAGCACAUGGGUUCUUAAUAAACUGAGCUUAUAUCAACGAUCUAAGCUAAGAUCAUACAAAUAUGGAUCGAACUUCUCUUUCACCAGAGAAAAAAGUAUGACAUACCAUGUGACUUUUGAGGUUGAAAGCUAAAUUGAUGAAGACGAAUGAAGGAUUUAGAUCCUUGUAUUUGACUGCUUGAAUUGCGCCCAAGAAUACGGGAAGUGGUCAAUUGGAUGAAGAACAAGAGAACAGAAGGAGGAGGUCACGCAGAGGAGACUUUGGCGGCAGAAACAAAAAGGUGCAGUGACCAAUAAUAAUGAGAGAGUUUGAAAAACUUGGGGAGAAGUCUUGACCGAGUGUGCGCGUUGUGUGUGAGAUGAGAGAAUUGUGAGGAAGACGACGACUCUGUGAUGAUCUGUAGAAUCUCAAGUUUUAAGAAUGUCUCUCACACGGUGCGGUGCGAGUGAGGAGGGAGAGGGGAUCCAGCUUGUCGGCUAACUUGGGAGUGUGAUAUAUAAGCACCCAUCCAGUUUCAUAGCUUGGUGGAAAAACGAACUUGCCUCAUCUGUUGCGUGUGUGUAUUUUUGGGUAAAUUCAUUAGUGACUAAAAUGAUAAAAAUCGACCUUCGGAUGCGAUUACUAUGUUUUGAUUAUUUUUUUUCUUUUUUAGUAGAAGCGAUAGUUUCUAAACUGAAUGAAAGUGGAAUUUCUCACACACACACAUCUAUAAUGUCAUGGAGAUUCAAACUUGAGACCUCUAUUAUGCAAGUUAAAAUUUUUCCACGCAAUAGACCCUGUUGGCGAUACACUUUGAUUUUAAGAUGGGCAGAUAACAAUAGAAACUUUAUUUUAUUUAUUAUUAAUUGCAAGCACCCUAUUGGAACACGUUUCACCCUAUUGGAGCAUAAUUAGCAUCAAAGCAAGAAAAUCAACUAUUUUCCCCCCUCAUAGCCGCAUAAAAGAACAGAUAAAAGGAUAGAGUAUAGAAGCCUAAGUACAGAUGUAAAUGUAAUUAUUGGUUAGAGAUUGGGUUUAGUUUAAACAAGUUAAUGAGGCUUUGAUUGGUUGUUGAAGCUUAAUGUCUUAUGGUGGUGGAGAACCCAAUUGUAUCAAACAACGUAAUAAACACGACGUGGUGUAGUUGGGCAGACCGCAAGUCUUGGCCUCUAGUUAGGUGGGAUUUCAGUUCUUUCACCAAACCAAACAAGCCAUGAGGAAAGCUAAAGAAAGUCUAAAGGUAGGAGCCAUAUGUAGGAUCAAAUCUGCCUAGUAACCAGUUGUAUAUCCCCUUCUGUCUACAACACUUUACAUUACGUAAUCGGUUGCAUAUUUCUAUUCUAUCUGUUUAAAAC
rnacentral:lncRNA from 1 species